rnacentral:rRNA from 1 species
AGUGAACGCUGGCGGUAGGCCUAACACAUGCAAGUCGAACGGCAGCACAGUAAGAGCUUGCUCUUACGGGUGGCGAGUGGCGGACGGGUGAGGAAUACAUCGGAAUCUACUUUUUCGUGGGGAUAACGUAGGGAAACUUACGCUAAUACCGCAUACGACCUACGGGUGAAAGCAGGGGGUCUUCGGACCUUGCGCGGUUGAAUGAGCCGAUGUCGGAUUAGCUAGUUGGCGGGGUAAAGGCCCACCAAGGCGACGAUCCGUAGCUGGUCUGAGAGGAUGAUCAGCGACACUGGAACUGAGACACGGUCCAGACUCCUACGGGAGGCAGCAGUGGGGAAUAUUGGACAAUGGGCGCAAGCCUGAUCCAGCCAUACCGCGUGGGUGAAGAAGGCCUUCGGGUUGUAAAGCCCUUUUGUUGGGAAAGAAAAGCAGCAGGUUAAUACCCCGCUGUUCUGACGGUACCCAAAGAAUAAGCACCGGCUAACUUCGUG